rnacentral:rRNA from 1 species
AGCGAACGCUGGCGGCAGGCUUAACACAUGCAAGUCGAACGCACCGCAAGGUGAGUGGCAGACGGGUGAGUAACGCGUGGGAACCUACCCCUUGGUACGGGAUAGCUCCGGGAAACUGGAGAUAAUACCGUAUGUGACCUGAGGGUCAAAGAUUCAUCGCCAAGGGAUGGGCCCGCGUCGGAUUAGCUAGUUGGUGGGGUAACGGCCUACCAAGGCGACGAUCCGUAGCUGGUCUAAGAGGAUGAUCAGCCACAUUGGGACUGAGACACGGCCCAAACUCCUACGGGAGGCAGCAGUGGGGAAUAUUGGACAAUGGGCGCAAGCCUGAUCCAGCCAUGCCGCGUGAGUGAUGAAGGCCCUAGGGUUGUAAAGCUCUUUCACCGGGGACGAUAAUGACGGUACCCGGAGAAGAAGCCCCGGCUAACUUCGUGCCAGCCGCCGCGGUAA